CAUGCUAUAUAUGUGUGUGUGUAUGUGCAUAUACGGGUAUACACGUAUACACACACACACACACACACACACAAACACGCAAAUUCA
rnacentral:miRNA from 1 species